rnacentral:rRNA from 1 species
CGUGGGUGAUCUGCCCUGCACUUUGGGAUAGCCUGGGAAACUGGGUCUAAUACCGAAUACACCCUGCUGGUCGCAUGGCCUGGUGGGGGAAAGCUUUUGCGGUGUGGGAUGGGCCCGCGGCCUAUCAGCUUGUUGGUGAGGUUACGGCUCACCAAGGCGACCACGGGUAGCCGGCCUGAGAGGGUGACCGGCCACACUGGGACUGAGAUACGGCCCAGACUCCUACGGGAGGCAGCAGUGGGGAAUAUUGCACAAUGGGCGCAAGCCUGAUGCAGCGACGCCGCGUGAGGGAUGACGGCCUUCGGGUUGUAAACCUCUUUCCCCA